rnacentral:rRNA from 1 species
UACGGAGGCUGCAAGCGUUAUCCGGAAUUAUUGGGCGUAAAGCGUCCGCAGGUGGUUAUCCAAGUCUGCUGUUAAAGCGCGAGGCUUAACUUCGUACAGGCAGUGGAAACUGGGUGACUGGAGUAUGGUAGGGGUAGCGGGAAUUCCCAGUGUAGCGGUGAAAUGCGUAGAUAUUGGGAAGAACACCAGCGGCGAAAGCGCGCUACUGGGCCAUUACUGACACUCAUGGACGAAAGCUAGGGGAGCGAAAGGG